rnacentral:lncRNA from 1 species
UACUAAAAGAUCCAUAUUACAGCAAACUAAAUAAAGCCUCACAUGCAUUCAUCUGUCAAACAACUGAAUACUAUCAUGCAACUACGAUGAGUUGAGUUUUUUCCCAACUUUUUAUCUCUGUUUAUAGACUGAGAAGAGUAUCGAAGGUGACUUGAAUAAGAAAAAUGAAAUCAUCAGUAACUUUGGAUGAGCAAACCAUGGAAAAUCACCCAGGUAUGCCCAGUUAUAGAUUUGUGACUGAAAGUACCAUAAAAGUUUCUUCAUCAAAUAGCUAACCUUGAAGCAUCAACUCGUCCAUAGGUAAGUUCCAUUAUUCCUGCCUCCAGACUGAAAGUGCCAUAAAAGUUUCUUCAUCAGAUAGCUAACCUUGAAGCAUCAACUCGUCCAUAGAUAAGUUCCAUUAUUCCUGCCUCCAAAUGAAGCAUAGAUACAAUAGUCAAAACAUCCUCUUCUGAUAUCAUAGAAGCCCAAUAAUCUUUUACUUUCUCCAGAGAACCAAUAUGAUGCAAACUUUCACGCGUGAAUACUUGCA